UACGAAGGGGGCUAGCGUUGCUCGGAAUCACUGGGCGUAAAGCGCACGUAGGCGGAUCUUUAAGUCAGGGGUGAAAUCCCAAGGCUCAACCUUGGAACUGCCUUUGAUACUGGGGAUCUCGAGUCCGGAAGAGGUGAGUGGAACUGCGAGUGUAGAGGUGAAAUUCGUAGAUAUUCGCAAGAACACCAGUGGCGAAGGCGGCUCACUGGUCCGGUACUGACGCUGAGGUGCGAAAGCCAGGGGAGCGAACGGG
rnacentral:rRNA from 1 species